CCCAGUACCACAAAAAUAAAUAAAUGAAUGAAUGAAUAGAAUAAAAGUAAACAAAACUGACUGGGAGCCACAUAGGUAAGGCAGGUCCACCUGCGGCACUUCCCCUUGAGGUGUGGAGGAAGCCCGCCCAGACACUGCCUGGCUGUCCCCCAAAAUUCAACUCAGCUUGCAGACCCAGCAAGGGUCUGUGGUCCAGGAUGGCGCUGAAACCUCUUCUAAAACUGUGGGUGUUUUCUUGCCAUACAACUUCAGGAAGUCAUAAAUUCUGUCCUAUUUUCCCUUUAUUUACAUACCUAUUUUCCUUUUUAAAACACUCUAAUAAAAACUCACUAAUCCAGAGCCCUCUAUUACCCGUAUUACAGUUAAGAACUAGGAUGUGAAUGGCGACCAAAAAAAGCCCGUGUGGCCUAGAGUGGUCCCAAAGCUCACACCCAGGACCCCUAGGAGGGUCUUAUGUUACAUUCAGAUCAGAAAAGCCUUCCUACUGGUCAGAGUCUCAGCAGGAAACAGAUGCACACCCCUCAGGUCAGGAGGAGAGUUUAGGGACGGGACUGUUUACAAUGGGUAGGCGGGAAGAGAAAUCCAUGCGCCAAGGCCCAGCAGCAGGAAGCGGUGACGGUGAUGCUCUGGCGGAGGAGCACAGAGGUUAAGGCUGGAAAGGGCGCCUGGCAGAGGUUGUGGUUUGAGGGUGAAGAAUACAGACGCUGCAGACCCGAAGCCUAGCGAGGGGAGGAGCUGGGGUAUUAAGUGCCCCAAGACCAGUCUCUUCCACCCUCCAAUCGUGGCAAGAUUCUCAACUGGCCAGACCCAGGAGAAAACCUGAGGACACGAUUGUGGCUCAUGCGCUCCGCCAAGGUACAUGGGAUCAUGGGAUGAGAGGCAGCCAGAGCCAGAGAUAGCCAGAAGAAAGGUCUCAAGAAUCCCAACGCAGUGACCAGGUCCGCAGCAUGGAGACCGAGACUCUCCCUGGUUUGACCAUUCCAAGAAAAUGAAAUGUGGAGGAGUACAAGAGAUCUGUACACACACUAGAAACCCAAAGAAUCCAGCCGAUGGCCUGGAUCCCACAGCAGUGGCCCAGCUAAAGGCCUAGAGCCCACGGCAGUGUCUCAUGCUUGUCCAUAUCAGAGAUCUGUACCGGCAAGCCACAAAGGCCACUGGAAGCUAGAAAGCCUGAACUGGUGAGGUGAAGGAUCAGUGCCACCAGGCUGAGGGAUCUGCACUGGAGCCAGGAAGUGAUUCUCCAGGUAAAGACCAGAGCUCUCCUGCUGAGAACAGUAGCCAUUCCUAGCGCCAGCGAGACCCCAAGCACCUCCUUCUAUGAGAGCAGCCAAGUUUGCAUCAGGAAAACCAGCCACGGUAAGCUCCCCACCCUGCCCCGUGCCCCAAAAAUCAACAGCACACGAUCUUCCCCUCCAGUUCUUUUUCUGCCAUUGGCAACAAUCCUCAGGUGGGUCUUGCACACCCAGAACCACCCUGAUUCAGUUCAGCUGAGCAUUCCAACUUGACCGUUAGUUAAUCCACCACAACUAUCAUGAACAGAAAUGAAUUCCUGAUUUCUUUCUUGAUGGAUUCAUUAUUGGUGUAUAGAAACACUAUUUGUAUGUUGAUUUUGUAUCCUGGCAUUUUGCUGAAUUUGUUUAUCAGGUCUAAAACUCCUCUACUAGAGUUUUUUUGGGGGGUCUUCUAUGUAAAUAAUUAUAUCAUCUGCAAAGAGGAAUUGUUUAACUUGCUUUCCUAUUCGUACCCCUUUUAUUGCUUUCUCUUAAACCUGCUUGCUCUCACUGAAGUUUCCAGUACACAAACACUGAGGAGGACUGUCGAGAGUGGACACUGUAGGAACCAGCCUAUGAGCUUGAACCUGACCAAGGGGUGACGAGGAUGAAAAAUAAGGAGACGCAGGGCUGGGGAUUUAGCUCAGUGGUUUCGCCGCCUGAUGUGCAAGCAAAAGGAUCUGGGUUCAAUCCCUGGCACCAAAAAAAAAAGGAGACACAGAAACAGGUUAAAAUUUGGAGUGCCAGGAGGCUCAUGUCUCCCCUCCACAUAGAGCCCCAAGUGCCUGGUGCAUGUUGGCUUUAUUCGCUCAACUCAGUCAGAGCCAUUAGAGUUCCACAGGCCGCAUCUGUCUGUCUCCGCCCUCCACGGUGCUUCUCCGGGUGAACACCUCAACCUCAGGUGUUCUUACUUCCCCUGCAGCGUGUGAGCACGCUCACACGCCCUCUCUCUCCUCAGGGAUCUCCGAGCAGGCCAGUUAGGCCUCCUUCUUCCCAUCUGGUCUCCACAGGACACCCGCUCCUCUUUCAUUUAAGAAAAAGCUUUGUUUUCUCCACUUAAUAUGACAUUGGCUGUGGGUCUGUCAUAGUUUGUACAGAAGAAUCCUAUGCUUGAAAGAUUCUAAUAAAUUCAAACAAAAACAACCCUAGAUCCUCUCUGCCAAGGCUGCUGUGGCUUCAGAGUGCUAGGCAGGGGGCCUGGAGGGAACCAGGAAAGAGGAGCAGGACGCUGUCCUGUGGGCCCACACUGGGCUUUCCCAAGGCUGCAAACUCUGGCACCUGAAGAAAAGAAAGGACAGUAAAUGAUUAAACAGCGCUGGGGGAUGGCCUUUGAGGUGAGGAAGGCAACAUCUGCAGGGAGCUCCUCAGAGGAACCCCAGCCGGCUGCAGGCCGCAGGCAGACGGUGGCAGCACGGCCUCCAGCAGGGGCAUUGUCCACUCAGGCAUGUCCUUCUCACUCAGCCUGCUAAUGCUUCUAUGCUGGCAGAGGCCCCAGUGUUUUUUCCAUCUCUUCUCAAAACCUUAUAUAAACCAUUCACUCAUUUUCAUUGA